rnacentral:pre_miRNA from 1 species
CAUAUACUCCCUCCGUCCGAAAAUACUUGUCAUCAAAAUGGAUAAAAGAAAAUGUAUCUAGAUGUAUUUUAGUUCUAGAUAUAUCUUUUUUAUCCAUUUUGAUGACAAGUAUUUUCAUAUGGAGGGAGUAUGAC